rnacentral:miRNA from 1 species
AAUCCUUUGUCCCUGGGUGGAAAUGC